CCCCAAGGGCUGAAACGUGUUCUACCCUCCAAUAAAUACACCUUCAGUACCUGGAGUUAUGCCUGUAUAUUCUAUUACCUUGUAUCUGUGUAUGUGAAGGUAUGUGUGUCAUUCUGUGUAUGUGUAGGGAUGUGUGUGUGCGGUUUCGCCAGUGUGCAUGUGUAGGUAUGUGUGUAUCUAUGUGCCAGUGUGUGUGUGUGUGUGUGCCUGUGUAGGUAUAGGUUUGUAUCUGUGGGUGUGCCAGUGUAUGUGUCUGUAUCUGUUAUUGUGUUUCCAUAUCACUGUG